AAGGCAGGGAUGGUGUGUAUCAGCGUAGUGCUAGAAUCAGUGCACUCUGAUCCGAAAGAGUUCCCUGCAACAUGAAAUCAAAAGGGGAAGGUGGGCAGUUGUUCUUCAUCCACCUGUUGAAAUUUCAACUAUCAUCUUCCCCAUAUUC